rnacentral:lncRNA from 1 species
AAAAAAAAAAUCAGAUUUUACAAUAAAAUCGGAUUUUACAAUAAAAUCAGAUUUUAUAAUAAAUUCAGAUUUUGUAAUAAAAUCAGAUUUUAUAAUAAAUUCAGAUUUUUGAAAAUCAGAUUUUGUAUAAUAAAACCAGAUUUUAUAAUAAAUUCGGAUUUUGUAUAAUAAAAUCAGAUUUUUUUUUCAGAUUUUUUAAAAACAGAACAACAUUUUUUUUUCUGUAAUUUGUUUCACCAAAUAAUAUUUUUUUUCUAUAAUUUAUUCACCAAACAACUAAAAAAAAAAAGAAGAAAGAAUCAAACCUGAGAAAUAGGCGAGGGGGCGAGCGAGCCAGCAAGCGAGCGAGCAGGCGAGGGGGCGAGUGGGCGAGGUGGGCGAGAUGGGAGGUGGGCGGGGUGUGGAGGAGGGAGGGUUUGGUGGUAAGCUCUGUGGAGAAGAAAGGAAAAAAGAAAAAGAAAAGAAGAAAGAGAGAAAGUGUGAGAGCCAGCAGGCGGGCGAAAACUGCGGCGAGGGGGCGAGUGGGCGAGGUAGGAGGUGGGUGUGCUGUGGAGGAUGGAGGGUUUGGUGGGAGGUGAGGUCUGUGGAGAAAAAAAGAAAAGAAAAAAGAAAAGAAGAGAGAGAUUGAGAGAGAGAGAGAAAAAAAGGGAUAACGGAGGGGAUCUAACGGAGCUUUUCCCAAGUUUUCACUAAAGGGGCUGCACAGAUCUCG